AUGGAACUGGAUGGAACCCGCACAAUAUGUGGGCAAGAGGAUGAAACAGUUCAUCAUGCUCUGAUCGGAUGCCCUCAUGCCCGGAAUCUGUGGGAUAUAAUGCGUACGGUCUGGGAUUUGCCGCCGGCUGAAGCUCUCUGAAACGAAGAGCCGAACUGGUUGCUAAUGCUACUACAUAAGAUGAAUGAAAUACAACACAUGCUUGUCCUGAUGGUGUUGCGGUGUGUGUGGCAUGUUCACAAUGAGCUCACGCAUGAGAAGCCUUUGAUUCCUGCUAAAGCUUCUAAACAUUUCCUAUCAAGCUAUGUAGAAUCAUUGCUUAUGAUCAGGCACCACCCGCAUGCAAACCUCACCAAAGGUAAAUUUCCGAACAUGAUGUAUAGCCCAACAUUGUUGUGUACGAGCAAGUCAAUCUGUCCGAGUGCUAUAGCAUCAUGGGAGCCUCCACCGGAAAAUUAUGUCAAGCUGAAUUUUGAUGGUUCAUAUGUUGCUGCGGAUGGAUCCGUAGGAGCAGGCAUGAUCCUGCGUGACCAUACUGGCCAGGUAAUCUUUGCGGCUUGUAGAUGGCUCUUCGAUUGCCCCAGACUGCUAGAGGUUGAGCUUGCUGGAUGUGAAGAUGGUCUUAAGUUGGCACUGCACUGGUCACAAAAACCAACACUGGUGGAGACAGAUUGUGCUAAAAUUCUGUCCUUAGUGAAUGCAGGGUCACUUGGUCGUUCAAGGAACAUGUACUAG
rnacentral:rRNA from 1 species